UAAUUUAUGCCGCUAAAUUUACUAAUCAAGCUUGACUAUACUCUAUAGACUUUGCUUGUAUAUGGAUUGUUUUCAAUCUUGAACUUUUACAGUUUGCCAGACAUUGCCUGUAAUAAUAAUUGUAACAGCUAGUUUUCGAAUUGGUCAGUAAAUUGUAGCAAGAUUAUGACAAUGAGCUACAAAACCUUUCAAGCAGACAGAAUAUCAAUCAACAUUCCAGGCGACUGGUAACUUCUACCAACAUCUAAACCGACUAAACGGAAGCUAUAUAAUUAUAAACUGCCCGGGAG